rnacentral:rRNA from 1 species
UACGUAGGGCGCAAGCGUUAUCCGGAAUUAUUGGGCGUAAAGAGCUCGUAGGCGGUUUUGUCGCGUCUGCUGUGAAAGACCGGGGCUCAACUCCGGUUCUGCAGUGGGUACGGGCAGACUAGAGUGCAGUAGGGGAGACUGGAAUUCCUGGUGUAGCGGUGAAAUGCGCAGAUAUCAGGAGGAACACCGAUGGCGAAAGGCAGGUCUCUGGGCUGGUAACUGACGCUGAGGAGCGAAAGCGUGGGGAGCGAACAGG